CCUACGGGAGGCAGCAGUAGGGAAUAUUGCACAAUGGGCGAAAGCCUGAUGCAGCAACGCCGCGUGAAGGAAGAAGGUUUUCGGCUCGUAAACUUCUAUCAACAGGGACGAAAGCAAUUACAGUCCCUGACUCAUAAGCCCCGGCUACCUACGUGCCAGCCGCCGCGGUAAUACGUAGGGGGCAAGCGUUAUCCGGAAUUACUGGGUGUAAAGGGUGAGUAGGCGGCUUGGUAAGCCAGAUGUGAAAGCCUUGGGCUUAACCCGAGGAUGGCAUUUGGAACUAGCAAGCUAGAGUACAGGAGAGGAAAGUGGAAGUCCUAGUGUAGCGGUGAAAUGCGUAGAGAUUAGGAAGAACACCAGUGGCGAAGGCGGCUUUCUGGACUGAAACUGACGCUGAGGCACGAAAGCGUGGGGAGCGAACAGGAUUAGAUACCCGAGUAGUC
rnacentral:rRNA from 1 species